rnacentral:lncRNA from 1 species
CUCCCUGGUCCUAAAGAGCAGCCAGCCACCAGAGAGAGUGUUAUCCAGGGCUCUGAGUAGUGUGGCGUCCCUGCUGAGACUCUGGAGGGUUCAGUGUCUGGACCUGACUGACUUCUGGAUCCAGGGUCACUCUCUCAUCACACUGCUGUGUCACCAGGGACCUCUCUCUCUCAGACUGAACUCAGACACUCUGCAGCAGCUGACUGUAGUUGUGUAUGAAGCUCAGGACAAGGACUUGACUCAGUGGUUCCUGGAGAAGGUUGGUGGAGACCUGACCUCCUGCAGGCUGGACUGGGAAGUGCUUCUCUCUCUGCUGCAGCAUUCAACCCACAACAUCACUGUGGACCUCAGGAAGAACGGGCUUCUAGAGAAGAACAUCUCAGAUCUUCUCCCCUUUCUGGGAAGAGUUACUCUCAAGAGGUCCAGUUCCAGCUUUGUAAAGUCCUCCAUCAGACAGAUCUAUGACAGUAGAGACAGUGACUGUGUGUCCAGUUUGUUGAGGUCUUCAGACCAUUGGAUCAACCUGAACAGCAGAGAGCUGGACAGAGUGGACUGUACUGCUCUGUGUUUUACCCUGCAUGACAGCCACUAAGUCAAAGUCAACCUGCUGUGGACCUCCAUACCACCGGGGGCGAUAGAGAGCAUCCUGCCUCUUCUGGACAGAGUCUCCCAACUCAGUGUUGACAGGAAGUUACUGUUGAGUUUCCUCCAGUGCUGUGCUGCCUCUCAGAUCCAGCAAGGGGCACCAUCACCACCAACAGCAGUAUGGCUGCUCAGGUCUCUGCACUACAGGCUGGACUUCUCCUGCUCCUCCUCUGUGGACCUGUCAGCUCAGGACCAGGGGGAGGCUCUGUGUCUGACCACUGACCACUGCAGGGCCAUCAGCUCUGUUCUGAAGCAGAACCAACACAGCACCCAGCUGGUCCAGAACCAGGUCCAGCUCAUCCUAAGAGACUGUGAGGUGGAGGACAGAGCACUGAGAGAGCUGCUUCCCAUCCUGCAUAUUGUCAAGCUGAGCCCCAGCAAAGCUCUGCUACUUCAGCUGCUGGACCUUGUGUGUGAGGGGAUUGAAGAGGGGCUGCUGAGGCACACAGAGUCCCUGUGCAGAGCCCUGGAUGGGGAGCUGGACCUCAGUGAGACCAGGCUGGACCAGAAGGCCUGUGGAUCUCUGGCCCUGGUUCUGGAACACUCAGAGGGUCUGUCAGAACUGGACCUCAGCCACUGUCAACUCACAGACCACCACCUACAGCCCCUGAUCACACACCUGCAUAAAGUACAAGUCCUGGACCUGAGUCACAAUGACAUCACUGAUGCUCUGACUGACAGAAUACUCCAACUGGUCUCUACCAACACUUCAAUACACACCGUACGACUCUUCAACAACAGAAUCAUGAACAGCACCGCUUUCCUCACAGACAAGAGGUUUGAGAUUGGAAUAAACAUCAGGUCUUGGUCCAGGAAGAGGAAGAGAUGGCUGUUAGGUCUUAGUCCAGGAAGAGGAAGAGAUGGCUGUUAGGUCUUAGUCCAGGAAGAGGAAGAGGAAGAGAUGGCUGUUAGGUCUUAGUCCAAAUCAAAAUAAAAUGUUAUUGGUCACCUACACAUGGUUAGCAGAUGUUAUUGCGAGUGUAGUGAAAUGCUUAUGCUUCUAGAUCUGCCAGGGCAGCAGUAUCUAACAGGUAAUAUCUAACAAUUUCACAACAAAACCUAAUACACACAGUCUAGUAAAGGAAUGAGAUGAGAAUAUAUAAAUAUAUAAUAUAUGGAUGAGCAGUGACAGAGCAGCUAAGAUGCAAUAGAUAGUAAAGAAUAGAUAGUGAAGGAUACAGUAUAUACAUAUGAGAUGAGUAAUGUGAGAUAUGUAAACAUUCUUAAUAAAAUCAACUAUAUGUACUGAACUGGUCUGAUGCUUUAAGCAAGCUGUUUGAUUAAAUAAUGAAGACACAGAAAUGACUCGAGGGAGCCAGAGAUCAACAUAGCCUUACAAGAAGAAAAAACCCUCUUCCUUAGCCUACUCCUCCCGCUGCUGCUGGCCUUUGUACAUUCUGACGUUAUGCUCCUAAAGUUUCUGAUAAUAGGCUACACCAGCAGUCGGCAACCUUUUCCAAUUUAUCUGACCAUUUCUACUGAUCUGGUGCCAGUUAGGAUUUUCAUAUUCACAUUUUACUGGAACAGUUUCAUUUAAUUUAUAGUCGUCUUUGUAUCUCAACAUCAUUCUGUGGUUAAUCUAUAUUCUAUCUAAAUGAAAAUGAUACAAAUAUAAAAUAAAUGUUUAUUGCCAUUGCUAACUAUGUAAUAAUAGUCCACAUAAAGCCAAAACAUUUAAACAUUGCAGCCAGCAGUUAGAAAAUAUCCAGAUAAAAAAUAAAUAUCCUAUAAAUCACAUUGGCUACGCCUGUUCUGUUUGAGACCUACAGGGAAGAAAUCUCACCGCUGCUCUGACUGUGGGAAAGGUUGCAAAUCUUCAUCAGAACUUAAAAUA